CACUGCCGAGAAAAGCCUCUAGAUAGAAAAUAGGUGCCCGUACCGCAAACCGACACAGGUAGUCAAGAUGAGAAUUCUAAGGUGAGCGAGCGAACUCUCGUUAAGGAACUCGGCAAAAUGACCCCGUAACUUCGGGAGAAGGGGUGCUCUUUAGGGUUAACGCCCAGAAGAGCCGCAGUGAAUAGGCCCAAGCGACUGUUUAUCAAAAACACAGGUCUCUGCUAAACCGUAAGGUGAUGUAUAGGGGCUGACGCCUGCCCGGUGCUGGAAGGUUAAGAGGAGUGGUUAGCUUCUGCGAAGCUACGAAUCGAAGCCCCAGUAAACGGCGGCCGUAACUAUAACGGUCCUAAGGUAGCGAAAUUCCUUGUCGGGUAAGUUCCGACCCGCACGAAAGGCGUAACGAUUUGGGCACUGUCUCAACGAGAGACUCGGUGAAAUCAUAGUACCUGUGAAGAUGCAGGUUACCCGCGACAGGACGGAAAGACCCCGUGGAGCUUUACUGUAGCCUGAUAUUGAAAUUCGGCACAGCUUGUACAGGAUAGGUAGGAGCCUUUGAAACGUGAGCGCUAGCUUACGUGGAGGCGCUGGUGGGAUACUACCCUAGCUGUGUUGGCUUUCUAACCCGCACCACUUAUCGUGGUGGGAGACAGUGUCAGGCGGGCAGUUUGACUGGGGCGGUCGCCUCCUAAAAGGUAACGGAGGCGCUCAAAGGUUCCCUCAGAAUGGUUGGAAAUCAUUCAUAGAGUGUAAAGGCAUAAGGGAGCUUGACUGCGAGACCUACAAGUCGAGCAGGGUCGAAAGACGGACUUAGUGAUCCGGUGGUUCCGCAUGGAAGGGCCAUCGCUCAACGGAUAAAAGCUACCCCGGGGAUAACAGGCUUAUCUCCCCCAAGAGUUCACAUCGACGGGGAGGUUUGGCACCUCGAUGUCGGCUCAUCGCAUCCUGGGGCUGUAGUCGGUCCCAAGGGUUGGGCUGUUCGCCCAUUAAAGCGGUACGCGAGCUGGGUUCAGAACGUCGUGAGACAGUUCGGUCCCUAUCCGUCGUGGGCGUAGGAAAUUUGAGAGGAGCUGUCCUUAGUACGAGAGGACCGGGAUGGACAUACCUCUGGUGUACCAGUUGUCGUGCCAACGGCAUAGCUGGGUAGCUAUGUGUGGACGGGAUAAGUGCUGAAAGCAUCUAAGCAUGAAGCCCCCCUCAAGAUGAGAUUUCCCAACUUCGGUUAUAAGAUCCCUCAAAGAUGAUGAGG
rnacentral:rRNA from 1 species